UCAUAACACAUUCUAACCUAGUGACUAAACCGUUUGGAUGAGCUUGUUUUGCCAAUUCUAGUCAAAACCGACCACUUCUCAUCGGAUCAAACCCUCGCGUAGUUCGUUACUAAUACUCACCACCGCGUUCCGACGGGCUACGGCGGCGCCCACCGUCCUCGAAGGCAGUCUGACGGUCCGGCCACCCUAUCUCAUCAUCUCUGACCAUUCAAUUUGGAGAAUCUGGCGAAAUAAGUGAUUGAUUUUGUCGAAUUUGCUACUUUUACAUAUUAUUAAUGUUGCAUUAAACGGUUUCGAUCACAAUUGAUACCCCGAAAUAGAAAUGUCUGAUCACAUACCUUUCGAGAUUCAAGUGGAAAUCAUCAAAAGGCUUCCUAUAAGAUCAUUGAUUCGGGUCAGAUCUGUUUCAAAAGCAUGGAAAUGUGUUAUCGAGUCUUCUGAUUUCAUUGCUGAGUACACCGUCCAUAACCAUGAUCAACCGCAGCAUUUGCUUAUAAAGUACAACAAUGUGUACGGUGAGGAAACAUAUGAUUCGAUUGUAGAGGAUGAUACGUUCCCUCAAAACAAGGUUUCUCUUGCUGUUCCUUUGUCGGUUGACCUACUUUGGAAUUCAUAUGUCGUCGGUGCCUCUUGUGGAUUGGUUUGCUUGUUCGGUUUUUAUCGGCAUGACGAUGAUGCUGAAUAUCCUCCUCGAGAGGCGACGGCUGUUCUUUGGAAUCCUUCGAUUAGAAAAUCAGUUGCUAUCCCUGUACCUGAUGUGGAUGGAUACGAUGAAGCGACUUUUGGCUUUGGGGUUUGCCCUGCAACUAGUGACCCUAAGAUUGUAAAGAUCACCGAAAGGAAGAUGAAAGAUGUAGCUUGUAGCAGCCGUUGGCAGGUUAAGGUUUUUAGUUUAAGCUCUGGGGUUUGGAGAAACUCAUUUGGUAAUCUGUCUGAUAGCUUAGCUGAUUUCAUGGGGCCUCGCUCCCAGGUAACCAUACGUGGUUUUCAUUACUGGUUUGGUGUUGGAGACGCCAUUGGUGGUGAUACUGGAUUUUGUUUUCUUAUUUCAUUUGAUUUGACAAGUGAAGAAUUUAGAGAGAUAUACCUCCCUAGUGAGUUAGCAUUCCAUGAUUCAACGGGGUUGCAUGUAUUCAACCUUUGUGAUUCUCUUGCCGUGCUUCAGGAGUGGUUAAUGGACGAUAUAAUUGAAGUGUGGAUGAUGGAAAAUGGUGAUUCAAAAUCGUUUACAAAGGUUUUCACCAUUGACAAACCAUCAUAUUGUUUAAGUCGGCCGUUGGAAUUUAGGUGGAACGGUGAACUUAUGAUGAGAAUGGAAAAUAACGAUGGAGAUUUUGAAGUGCUUAUAGAUUAUGACCCCUUCUCAGAACACAUCAAUGAUCUUGGGAUUGAAAGCCAAUGUCACACAUUAGCUGUGACCUCGUACACAGAAUCUUUAAUUCUGAUUAAUCAGUUAGAUACAGUAGUUGAUGACGAGGAUGAUGAAGAGGUUAGUGUUGAGCAAGGAAGAAAGGUAUAGAGAUCAAAGAGCAAUUACUUCUUGAUAUUUCAAACAGAUCCCAUUUCGUUAUUUAAAGAUUCUAUGUUGAGGAAGUCCUUGCCCAGAAUACUUGCAUAUGCUUGGAUAUGGAGACCUAAAUAGUUUGAACCAGACAAUGGCAAACUGCCUUUUAGUUGUUUAUGCAACCGGUUAAUGUUUUGUUGUCUUAUAACUUUUUGUUGCAUGGUUCAUGAUUGUUUGAUUCUCAGGUGUUUUUAUCAGGUUGUUAUCAUUAUUAAAAUCUUGUAACAUUGGCAAGUGAUUUAGCAAAGAAUAGUGAAAUCAGAGGUUUAGUUUUGUCCUUCA